rnacentral:rRNA from 1 species
CGGUGGAGCAUGUGGUUAAUUCGAAGCAACGCGAAGAACCUUACCAGGUCUUGACAUCCCGAUGCUAUUCUAGAGAUAGAAAGUUACUUCGGUACAUCGGUGACAGGUGGUGCAUGGUUGUCGUCAGCUCGUGUCGUGAGAUGUUGGGUUAAGUCCCGCAACGAGCGCAACCCCUAUUGUUAGUUGCCAUCAUUCAGUUGGGCACCCUAGCGAGACUGCCGGUAAUAAACCGGAGGAAGGUGGGAUGACGUCAAAUCAUCAUGCCCCUUAUGACCUGGGCUACACACGUGCUACAAUGGUUGGUACAACGAGUUGCGAGUCGGUGACGGCGAGCUAAUCUCUUAAAGCCAAUCUCAGUUCGGAUUGUAGGCUGCAACUCGCCUACAUGAAGUCGGAAUCGCUAGUAAUCGCGGAUCAGCACGCCGCGGCGAAUACGUUCCCGGGCCUU